CCCGAUUAAAAAAUGGGCAGAGGAUCCUCUUUUGCAACCCAAAACUCAUUGUUCAGUAUGAGUUUUGAUACAGAUAAGAUGGAACAUG